ACGGAGGAUUCCGAAAAAGAAAAACAACAACAUGGCUAAUAGGAUGUUGCUGCCCAGGGAGUCCUGGCCGAAGAGGUUUACUCAUUCCAGAAGCAAGAAUUGUACAAUUGUAAGGCGAAUGGAAAUAAACUGACAUCGACUGAGAUA